rnacentral:misc_RNA from 1 species
UAUGACAGUGAGCUGACCCAA